ACGGGAGGCAGCAGUGGGGAAUAUUGGACAAUGGGGGAAACCCUGAUCCAGCGACGCCGCGUGAGUGAAGAAGUAUUUCGGUAUGUAAAGCUCUUUAAGCAGGAAAGAAAAUGACGGUACCCGCAGAAUAAGCCCCGGCUAACUACGUGCCAGCAGCCGCGGUAAUACGUAGGGGGCAAGCGUUAUCCGGAUUUACUGGGUGUAAAGGGCGCGUAGGCGGGGAUGCAAGUCAGAUGUGAAAUCUAUGGGCUUAACCCAUAAACUGCAUUUGAAACUGUAUCUCUUGAGUGCUGGAGAGGUAGACGGAAUUCCUAGUGUAGCGGUGAAAUGCGUAGAUAUUAGGAAGAACACCAGUGGCGAAGGCGGUCUACUGGACAGUAACUGACGCUGAGGCGCGAAAGCGUGGGGAGCAAACAGGAUUAGAUACCCUGGUA
rnacentral:rRNA from 1 species